ACUCAAAUGAAUUGACGGGGACCCGCACAAGCGGAGGAUGAUGUGGUUUAAUAUGACGAUACGCGUAGAACCUUACCCAGGCUUGACAUCCUUGGAAUCCACUGGAAACAGAGGAGUGCCUUCGGGAACCAAGUGACAGGUGCUGCAUGGCCGUCGUCAGCUCGUGUCGUGAGAUGUUGGGUUAAGUCCCGCAACGAGCGCAACCCUUACCGUAUGUUGUAUUUUUCAUACGAGACUGCCCGAGCCAAUCGGGAGGAAGGCGGGGAUGAGGUCAGGUCGGCAUGGCCCUUACGCCUGGGGCCACACACGUCAUACAAUGGCCGGUACAAAGCGUCGCAAAGCCGCGAGGCGGAGCUAAUCGCAUCAAAACCGGUCUCAGUUCGGAUUGGAGGCUGCAACUCGCCUCCAUGAAGUCGGAUUCGCUAGUAAACGUAGGUCAGCACACUACGUUGAAUACGUUCCCGGGUCUUGCACACACCGCCCGU
rnacentral:rRNA from 1 species